rnacentral:rRNA from 1 species
UACAGAGGUCUCAAGCGUUUGUUCGGAUUCAUUGGGCGUAAAGGGCGCGUUAGGCUGCGGGGCAAGUCGGGUGUGAAAUCUCAGAGCUCAACUCUGAAACUGCACUCGAUACUGCUUUGCUCGAGGACUGGAGAGGAGAUUGGAAUUCACGGUGUAGCAGUGAAAUGCGUAGAUAUCGUGAGGAAGACCAGUGGCGAAGGCGGAUCUCUGGACAGUUCCUGACGCUGAGGCGCGAAGGCCAGGGGGAGCAAAACGGGG